UGCUUAUCAGCUGCCAGCCCUGU
rnacentral:miRNA from 1 species